rnacentral:misc_RNA from 1 species
UUUCCGUAGGUGAACCUGCGGAAGGAUCAUUAAAAAAUGAGACCUCGAUUUUUGAAGGUCUAUUAGUAAUCCUACCCUUUGUGAAUUUGUUUGUUUUAUUAUGUGUCUUUCCCUGGUUUUGAUGGAGCUUGUUUAAAGCAAAAUCAAUCCAGGGGAAUGGCAAAACUUUUUUUUAAAAUUAAACUUUUUGUAUUCAUUUGUCUAAAAUUAUUUUUAUAAUAUAAAAACAACUUUUGACAAUGGAUCUCUUGGUUCUCGCAACGAUGAAGAACGCAGCAAAAUGCGAUAAGUAGUGUGAAUUGCAGAAUACGUGAAUCAUCGAAUCUUCGAACGCAUAUUGCACUUUUUUGGUUUACCAAAAAUGUAUGUCUGUUUGAGUAUCAGUAAAAUAUCCUCAUAAAAACUAUUUGUUUUUAUGGUUAUGAGUGUUUUACAACGAUAAACAAGUUGUUUCACUUUAAAUUCUUUGACUUGUAAAAAAUCAUUAAAAACUGAUUUUUUUUAAAAUUGGAUAAAAUUUUCCCGUAAAAAGGAAUAACCUAAACAAUUUUAAUUAAAAUUGGUUUGAUUUCUUUUAAGACUUAAAGGAAAAAAAGUAAAAAUUAACUUGAUCUCAAAUCAGAUAAGAGUACCCGCUGAACUUAAGCAUAUCAAUAAGCGGAGGAAAAGAAACUAACUAGGAUUCCCUCAGUAACGGCGAGUGAAGCGGGAAGAGCUCAAAUUUGAAAUCUCCAAGGUUCUACCUUGACGAAUUGUAGUUUAAAGAAGUGUUUUCUGUUGGAGUUUUGGUAAAAGUUCUUUGGAAUAGGACAUCAUAGAGGGUGAGAAUCCCGUAUUUGACCAUUAUUUCCAACUUUGUGAUACACUUUCAAAGAGUCGGAUUGUUUGGGAAUGCAGUCCAAAAUGGGUGGUAAAUUUCAUCUAAAGCUAAAUACUGGCGAGAGACCGAUAGCGAACAAGUACCGUGAGGGAAAGAUGAAAAGAACUUUGAAAAGAGAGUUAAACAGUACGUGAAAUUGUCAAAAGGGAAGCGUUUGACACCAGUGUUGUUUUCUCGUAAAUCAAUUAAAAAUGGUGGGAUUUUGUGUUGUAUUGACUUUAUCAGCUUUCUGCACUUUUUUCCUGUCUUUUUUAAUGCACUUUUCGUUUAACAAGUCAACAUCAAUUUCUUUUGCUGUAAAAGAGUCAUUGGAAGGUGGCUUUCUUUUCGGAGAAAGUGUUUAUAGCCUUUGACUUCUGCAGUCGGAGAGAUUGAGGUCUGCAGCGUAGAUCCUUCGGGGUUAGAUACAUUUGUGCUAAGCUAUAGCCUUUCAUAGACAACUUGUUGACUAUGAUCAGUCAUGUAGCUUACUCGCUUAUGCUAUUUUACCUACGCUUAGGAUGUUG